rnacentral:misc_RNA from 1 species
GAGGCGGCGAUUUUGGUUAAAAUAUCGAACGGAAGAGUGGAAAAGUCGCGAAAAUCGGAGGAAGAAGAUGAUCUUGCUGAUCUAGAAUUAGAUGGGAUUGUAGUGGAAUGGAAAGCCAGAGAUUUGAUGUUGGGUAAAGGAAGAGAUUUAAAUCGACAUGCAUCAGAUCGAGUAGGCCAUGUUCUUUGCUUCAUCUUCGUUUGCUUCCCUUUCACGUGGAAGGGAAGAGAGGGCAGCGAAGUGACGACGGUGGGGGAGACGGCG